rfam:Oryza glaberrima chromosome 8 Oglab08_0012_13, whole genome shotgun sequence.
AAUAAGUACAGUUUUGCACUAUUCAUCUUCAACGUUUGAUCGUUCGUCUUAUUUGAAAAAAUUUUAUGAUUACUAUAUUUAUUGUUAUUAGAUGAUAAAACAUGAAUAGUACUUUAUGUGUGACUAUUUUUUUAAAAAAAAUUAUAAUUUUUUUAAAUAAGACGGACGGUCAAACGUUGGACACGGAUUUCCACGGUUGCACUUAUU